rnacentral:lncRNA from 1 species
UGUGUUUCAUCUACUCUAUCUUGAUCCAUAUAUUCCAUAGGAACUGUUUAUUUUUGUGAGCGGGGGGUGAUAAAAGAAAGAUUUAUUCUAAAGAGGAGGAAAAAAUACUAGCGAGGAGGAUAUCAUUGGGCCUAAGAGGCUAAAAAAUGAAAAAUGCAACUAAAAACUUCGUACCCCAUUGCCCAGAGGCUCUUCGCUAUGCGAAGGUAUGGGGGAGGGAUGUUGUACGCAGCCUUACCCUUGCAUAUGCAAAGAGGCUGUUUCCGGAUUCGAACCCAUGACCAACAAGUCACCAAGGCACAACUUUACCGCUGCACCAGGGCUCGCCCUCAAAAAAAUGAAAAAUGCAACAAAGCUGCUAAUUUCUUUAUAUAUGAAGGAGACUCCCUUACAAACUAUAUGGGUAUGGUUGUGGCAAGGAAGUGAAAUUACGCCCAUGAAUAAGGAUAUGAGAGAUUAUGGAGAAAAAAUAAACAAGCUUCAUAGUGUAAGGAGCUAGUCUCCAGCUAUUACCCUAGCUUUCUUUUUCAUUUUCUUGGGUUGCCACUCUGUAACAGAGGUUUAUACCUCUGAUAUAGUUCUAAUUGAGUAUCAACAUUAGUUUUACCAUCCUUAUUCUGGUUCCUGACAACAUUAGUUUAUUCUUCUAAACGAUUGUACUGUAAAACUAGUUUUGAACAGAGCUUAAUGGCAUUGAUUGAUUAAUUAUCCCAAUACCUAAUGGGAUAAGGCUUGGCUGCUGUUGUAGGCAUAAAUUUCAUAGGAGUAUCUUUGGGGUGACUCAAGUUUUGAGAUUUUGGAAAAGUCAGGAAAAUAAGUUUAUUUACUUGGACCUUUGGCAUAUAUUAUAAUAUUGCUAAAUUUGGAAUGAAG